GAGUUGGCCGAACGACCGCGGGUAUAUGGCGAAAGCCUGUACAUGAGGAAAGUCCGGGCUCCACAGGGCAAGGAUAACGGGUAACGCCCGCCAGGGGUGACCCUCGGACAAGUGCAACAGAAAUAGACUGCCGUGCUUUGCGCGGUGAUGGUGGAAAGGCGAGGUAAGAGCUCACCCAACGCAUGGAGACAUGUGGUUGCUGUAAACUCUAUCCGGAGCAACACCGUGGAACGGGGACACAGAGGCCGGCCCGGCCGUCCCCAGGAGGUGGCUUGAGCCAAGGGGCAACCCUUGGCCUAGAUAGAUGGUCGUUCUCGACAGAACCCGGCUUACAGGUCAACUCA
rnacentral:RNase_P_RNA from 1 species